rnacentral:rRNA from 1 species
CACGUAGGGAGCAAGCGUUGUCCGGAUUUAUUGGGCGUAAAGAGCUCGUAGGCGGCUCAGUAAGUCAGGUGUGAAACCUCCAGGCUCAACCUGGAGACGCCACCUGAUACUGCUGUGGCUUGAGUCCGGUAGGGGAGCGUGGAAUUCCUGGUGUAGCGGUGAAAUGCGCAGAUAUCGGGAGGAACACCAGCGGCGAAGGCGGCACUCUGGGCUGGUACUGACGCUGAGGAGCGAAAGCGUGGGGAGCAAACAGG